CUUAGAACCACCUAAGUCUGGAUUGCAGGGGGAAGUAGGUUCAACUCAAACAGCCUUAAGUUAAAAAAAGAAGAAGAAUUCAUUGACUCACAGAAUAGGAAAGCCCAGGAGUUUCGCCGGCUUCAAGCGCAGCUGGGACCAGAUGCUCAAAUGGUUCUAGGGUGAAGG